rnacentral:rRNA from 1 species
AUGGUGGACGUAGUUUUAACCUCCUUAUCACUGGCCGUGAAGACGCUCAUGUCUCUCUACUCCGGAGGCAUCGCUCAGGAGGAGCUGGUCAAGAAGGUGACAGAAAAUAUGAGUACGCUUACAACGCACAGGCUUGACGCACGGUAUGUGGUCGAGAACCUCGCCUAUUCGCCGUCGAAUCGCCGGCAGAUGUGGAAUUAUAUCCAGGACAUCAACGACAUCGACGACCUCCACCAGGUGCUCGUCAGUGCCGACGGCGCCCGGGCGAGGCUGUGGAGAUGGGCGGUUUGCCGUGACAUCGGCCCCCACAUCGACCGCAUCAGCAAGGACAUCGGCCUCAUCAGGCAGGACAUCAGGGACGACAUGGCGGCGCGGGCUGCUCCAGUGGCGGGCGCGCACGCUGCUCGACCGGCGCGCGCGGAGAUCCCUGGUAUUGAUGACGACCAGCUUGCCAUCGACUGCCACAAGAGUGGGCUCAAGUUGAUGCUGCCGUGUGCCAUGGAUGCGGAGGCUACUGGUGAUGGCGUUGCAUCGGUGGAGAAGCACAUCAGACCGAUCAGGUUGGUCUCCAUCGUCAGCGCCGAUGCCGGCCGCAGCAUGACCACUAAGGUUGCCAAGGAGGUGUACGACGACCUCAAAGUCAAAGGGGAUUACAAGGCAGCGGCGUUAGUCUCUGUGUCGUCUCCCUGUCCCAUCGACAUCCUCAUAGGCAUGUAUCGCCAAGUGAACCCGUCAGACAACACCGACGCCUGGUUGGAGUGGGACGAGACGAGAUUAAUGCAAAGAAUCAGAAAUGUCCUCGAAAAUAAGAGGUACCUCAUCGUUUUUAUUGAUACCGAUGAUGCAGCGUGGAUCCGUAUCGGACACAUCUUGAAUGGCUGUGUUCCUUUCGAAGAAAGCAACUGCGACAGUAAUAUAAUCAUUACAGAUUCCUAUGACAACAUAUUUCUGUCCAAUCUUGAAGCUGAAUCACGUACCUCUCGUGGGCAGUAUCAUCUCAAACACACAGUUACUGAGUUCUUAAGAAAGGGCACCGCCAUGCCUUGUGAUGAAAUGACAUGCUUGUUAUAUCUAAGCAUAUUCCCAGAGAAGCACCCAAUUGAGAGAGAUGACUUGAUACGGAGAUGGAUAGCCGAAGGCUUUGUCCAAGAUUAUGUACAAGGAGACAGAAUUUUCUCCGACCUCAUCAAUGCAAGAAUAAUCCUGAGCACGUAUGCUGCCGACACUCAUGGCAGGGUACAGGCUUACCAUGUUGACGAGGUGGUGCUCAAGUUCAUAACUUGCUUGGCAGAUAAAGAAAAGUUUGUGGUAAGAUCAGAUCCGCAAUCACUAAAUCAUAAUGAACCAAACUAUAUCAUAUACCCACCUUACAUCAUUGUAGCCCUCCCAAAUAAUGUUGCCAAAUAUCCAAGAACCCAGGCCUACUAUCAUGUGAGGUCACUUUCAGUGUUCUCGCACGAGAUUAGCUUUCGGCUACCUCCUUGGAGAUUUGGGUUUUUACAUGUCUUGUAUUUAGAAGAUUGCAGAAGCCGCGACAUUAAGGGUAUAGGAAAGCUGAUUCUCUUGAGGUACCUUCGGCUAAGCGGCGCUCGUUGUCUCAAGCUACCAGAAGAAAUCGGAAAGCUACAACUUCUGCAGACAUUGGACCUGAAGCAGGCAGGAGUGGCAGCUCUGCCACAAGUUGUGGCCAGCCUACCAGAACUUGUUCGUCUGUGGGUUGGCCCACAAACGGUGCUGCCACUUGGCAUUAUGCGUGCGCCAAAACUUAAUGAGUUGUCGGAAGUGGAUGGCGGAAAUAUCAAAAGGUAUAUGACAAAUCCUAAACCUGACAGUCCAAGUCCAUCCAUAUUGAAGGUGCUGGAAGUUUCACUCCCUAGUACUAGCGAGGAGCCUCCUCUCGAUGAGCUGCCACCAAGUCUGUUGGGUGUUCGCGUAUCCACACCGGGUCUAUCAGCUGUCAUGACCCGCAACGGCAACGAGGAUAUCCUCGGAAGAUUUACGGUGUGUCCCCGUCGUCCAUCCCCAUCAUCGUCUUCCGAGAUGGUGCUAGGCUGGGUCCACUCGCCAUCGGAACCAUGGAAGCUUUCCAGUCUAUGCAUCACGGUCCAGGCACUGGAGCAGAACGAUCUUGACAUGCUUGGCAAGUGUGGUGCUCUUCGGUUCCUUGAUUUGCAGGUUGAAGGAGACACAAAAAAGGGGUUCAACAUUACAGUUAGUGGCGAGGCUUUCAAGCGUCUGGUAGACUUCAAGUUUGCAAGUCGCGCAAGGAGCCGAGACAGGACCCAGGCCGCCAGGGCUCAGGGCGUGGAGCUGGAAGGCGGUCCGGGGCCUGCUGCACCACGGGAACCGGUGCUCAAGUUUGAAGAAGGCGUCAUGCCUGAACUUGAGACGCUUUCGUUGGGCGUACAUGUUCCUGUUGGUGAUUCAGUGGACCUGGGCUUGCAGCACCUCGCCUCCCUCAAGACGGCGCACAUUAGGAUCGACUGUAGCGAUGCCACGGUUUGGGAGGUGAGCAAAGCAGAGGCUGCCCUGUGGGUCGCAGCCAACCAGGAUCGACGGGAACCAGUGACCCUUGACUUCCCCCGAGAUUUCGAGACUCAGAUGAAGAAUGAUUGCGAUACACACGCCGAGAUCGGUCUAUGGGGUCCGGAAGAAGGGGGCGAGGGGUACAACAAGGAUGGGGACGACGAGAGACCCCAUCGUCUGGAGAAUGUGACGGUGUGGACCGGCAAAGUCGUAGACGCCCUUGAGUAUUCCUACCUCGACUGUUCUGGCAACCUUCGGUCUAUGGAUAGGAAUGAUGCUCGGUGGGGCAGUCGCGGCGGGGUACGAUAUAAGUUCAAGCUCGGACCGGAGGAGUUCCUCGAGCGAGUUUCCGGGACGAUCGGCCGGUACCAGCACGGAUCAGAAGUUCUGACAAUUAUAACGUCGCUCACCUUCGUUACCAAUCUAUGCCAGCACGGACCUCUUGGAGUAGAAAGGGGGCAUCAUUUCCACAUCCCACGGCAGGGGGACGGCAGAAUUACGGGCUUCUUUCUCCGUGCUGGCAAGUUCGUGGACGCCAUCGGUGUUUAUAUCUGCGCAGGCCCGCACUGCGUUUCCAGUGUAACAGAUUUACUGACAAAUACCUCCUCCUAG